rnacentral:rRNA from 1 species
AUUGAACGCUGGCGGAAUGCUUUACACAUGCAAGUCGAACGGCAGCACGGGGCAACCUGGUGGCGAGUGGCGAACCGGUGAGUAAUACAUCGGAACGUGCCCAAUCGUGGGGGAUAACGUAGCGAAAGUUACGCUAAUACCGCAUACGAUCUACGGAUGAAAGCGGGGGAUCGCAAGACCUCGCGCGAAUGGAGCGGCCGAUGUCAGAUUAGGUAGUUGGUGGGGUAAAGGCUCACCAAGCCAACGAUCUGUAGCUGGUCUGAGAGGACGACCAGCCACACUGGAACUGAGACACGGUCCAGACUCCUACGGGAGGCAGCAGUGGGGAAUUUUGGGACAAUGGGCGCAAGCCUGAUCCAGCCGAUUCCGCGUGCAGGAUGAAGGCC